GAUGAACGCUGGCGGCGUGCUUAACACAUGCAAGUCGAACGAAGCACUUAUGAUUCUUCGGACAAGUAAGUGACUGAGUGGCGGACGGGUGAGUAACGCGUGGGUAACCUGCCUUCUACAGGGGGAUAACAGGUAGAAAUGACUGCUAAUACCGACUAACCUGCUAUGGCCGCGUGGCCAAGACGGAAAAGAUUUAUCGGUAUAAGAUGGACCCGCGGCUGAUUAGCUAGUGGGUGAGGUAAUGGCUAACCAGGGCGACGAUCAGUAGCCGGCUUGAGAGAGUGAACGGCCACAUUGGGACUGAGACACGGCCCAAACUCCUACGGGAGGCAGCAGUGGGGAAUAUUGCACAAUGGGGGAAACCCUGAUGCAGCAACGCCGCGUGAAGGAAGAAGUAUUUCGGUAUGUAAACUUCUAUCAGCAGGGAAGAAAAUGACGGUACCUGACUAAGAAGCCCCGGCUAACUACGUGCCAGCAGCCGCGGUAA
rnacentral:rRNA from 1 species